rnacentral:rRNA from 1 species
UACGGAGGGUGCAAGCGUUGCUCGGAAUUAUUGGGCGUAAAGGGUAGGUAGGUGGUCUCAUUUGUCUGGGGUGAAAGCCUUGAGCUUAACUCAAGAAGUGCCCCAGAAACGGUGAGACUAGAGUCCUGGAGAGGGUCGUGGAAUUCCAGGUGUAGCGGUGAAAUGCGUAGAUAUCUGGAGGAAUACCGGUGGCGAAGGCGGCAUCCUGGACCGGCAUUGACGCUGAGAAGCGAAAGCAUGGGGAGCGAACAGG